rnacentral:rRNA from 1 species
AUUGAACGCUGGCGGCAUGCCUUACACAUGCAAGUCGAACGGCAGCACGGGAGCAAUCCUGGUGGCGAGUGGCGAACGGGCGAGUAAAGUAUCGGAACGUGCCCAGUCGUGGGGGAUAACGUAGCGAAAGUUACGCUAAUACCGCAUACGAUCUAUGGAUGAAAGCGGGGGAUCGCAAGACCUCGCGCGAUUGGAGCGGCCGAUAUCAGAGUAGGUAGUUGGUGGGGUAAAGGCUCACCAAGCCGACGAUCUGUAGCUGGUCUGAGAGGACGACCAGCCACACUGGGACUGAGACACGGCCCAGACUCCUACGGGAGGCAGCAGUGGGGAAUUUUGGACAAUGGGCGAAAGCCUGAUCCAGCCAUGCCGCGUGCAGGAUGAAGGCCUUCGGGUUGUAAACUGCUUUUGUACGGAACGAAAAGGUUUGGGCUAAUAAGCUGAGCUCAUGACGGUACCGUAAGAAUAAGCACCGGCUAACUACGUGCCAGCAGCCGCGGUAA